GUAGGUGGCAAGCGUUGUCCGGAAUUAUUGGGCGUAAAGCGCGCGCAGGCGGUUCUUUAAGUCUGAUGUGAAAGCCCACGGCUCAACCGUGGAGGGUCAUUGGAAACUGGAGAACUUGAGUACAGAAGAGGAAAGCGGAAUUCCACGUGUAGCGGUGAAAUGCGUAGAGGUGUGGAGGAACACCAGUGGCGAAGGCGGCUUUCUGGUCUGUAACUGACGCUGAGGCGCGAAAGCGUGGGGAGCAAACAGGGAUUAGAUACCCUGGUAGUCCACGCCGUAAACGAUGAGUGCUAAGUGUUAGGGGGUUUCCGCCCCCUUAGUGCUGCAGCUAACGCAUUAAGCACUCCGCCUGGGGAUACGGCCGCAAGGCUG
rnacentral:rRNA from 1 species